rnacentral:rRNA from 1 species
CAGUAGCCACGGGAAUACAGAGGGUGCGAGCGUUAAUCGGAUUUACUGGGCGUAAAGCGUGCGUAGGCGGCUUCUUAAGUCGGAUGUGAAAUCCCUGAGCUUAACUUAGGAAUUGCAUUCGAUACUGGGAAGCUAGAGUAUGGGAGAGGAUGGUAGAAUUCCAGGUGUAGCGGUGAAAUGCGUAGAGAUCUGGAGGAAUACCUAUGGCGAAGGCAGCCAUCUGGCCUAAUACUGACGCUGAGGUACGAAAGCAUGGGGAGCAAACAGGAUUAGAUACCCGGGUAGUCCCUGUCUCUUAUAC